AGCAGCCGCGGUAAUUCCAGCUCCAAUAGCGUAUAUUAAAGUUGUUGCAGUUAAAAAGCUCGUAGUUGAAUUUCGGGGUUAGUAGGUUGGUCAUGCCUCUGGUAUGUACUGGUCUCACUGAUUCCUCCUUCCUGAUGAGCCGUAAUGCCAUUAAUUUGGUGUUGCGGGGAAUUUGGACUGUUACUUUGAAAAAUUAGAGUGUUUAAAGCAAGCUAACGCUUGAAUACAUUAGCAUGGAAUAAUGAAAUAGGACGUUCGAUCCUAUUUUGUUGGUUUCUAGGAUUGACGUAAUGAUUAAUAGGGAUAGUUGGGGGCAUUAGUAUUCAAUUGUCAGAGGUGAAAUUCUUGGAUUUAUUGAAGACUAACUACUGCGAAAGCAUUUGCCAAGGAUGUUUUCAUUAAUCAAGAACGAAAGUUAGGGGAUCGAAGACGAUCAGAUACCGUCGUAGUCUUAACCAUAAACUAU
rnacentral:misc_RNA from 1 species